AGUGAACGCUGGCGGUAGGCCUAACACAUGCAAGUCGAACGGAAGCACAGUAAGAGCUUGCUCUUACGGGUGGCGAGUGGCGGACGGGUGAGGAAUACAUCGGAAUCUACUUUUUCGUGGGGGAUAACGUAGGGAAACUUACGCUAAUACCGCAUACGACCUACGGGUGAAAGCAGGGGAUCUUCGGACCUUGCGCGAUUGAAUGAGCCGAUGUCGGAUUAGCUAGUUGGCGGGGUAAAGGCCCACCAAGGCGACGAUCCGUAGCUGGUCUGAGAGGAUGAUCAGCCACACUGGAACUGAGACACGGUCCAGACUCCUACGGGAGGCAGCAGUGGGGAAUAUUGGACAAUGGGCGCAAGCCUGAUCCAGCCAUACCGCGUGGGUGAAGAAGGCCUUCGGGUUGUAAAGCCCUUUUGUUGGGAAAGAAAAGCAGCAGGUUAAUACCCCGCUGUUCUGACGGUACCCAAAGAAUAAGCACCGGCUAACUUCGU
rnacentral:rRNA from 1 species